rnacentral:rRNA from 1 species
UACGGGGGGGGCAAGCGUUGUUCGGAAUUACUGGGCGUAAAGGGUUCGUAGGUGGCUUGCUCAGUCAGACGUGAAAUCCCUCAGCUUAACUGGGGAACUGCGUCUGAUACUGGCGAGCUUGAGUGCAGGAGAGGAACGCGGAAUUCCAGGUGUAGCGGUGAAAUGCGUAGAUAUCUGGAGGAACACCGGUGGCCGAAGGCGGCGUUCUGGACUGCAACUGACACUGAGGAACGAAAGCCAGGGGAGCAAACGGG